GCCUGGGCAGCAGCGGUUCUGUGCCAGGUGAAAGUGCCCGUGCCCGAAUCACGUGAGAAACUCGCCAGCGGUGGCUCAGUGGCCGCAGCCUGUUCUGUUGGCUUCCUGUCGAGGCCUCGUGGCCCCAGUGUGACCUCACCUGGUAGAAGGCCCCACGCGCGUCACUCCCAGCCACCAGGAUGGAGGUGAAGGGCGGGACCCGGAGCGCAGAUGCACCCACUGGGCACUGGGCACGCGGACAGGGGCCCAGGAACGUGGUGUCGGAUGCAAGGAGGACUGCACAGGUGGCCACCUAGCCAGCCACCCCAAACUCUGUCAUAACCCAGCGUGAUGCCCACGCCCUCAAUCCCAGCACUUGGGAGGCUGAGGAAGGAGGAUCUCAAGUUCACACCCAGGCUGAACAAUUUAACAAGCAAUUUAAGACCCUGUCUAAAAAAGAAUUCAAGUGCUAGGUAGUGUAGCUCAGGGUCCAGGCGGGCCCUUCGGUCCUCCAGACCUUCAAAAACAACAAACACCAAAACACUUUCUUGGGGGUUCCACUUGAGCGUCUGUGGUCCCCACUCCUGCUAGUUCUGACUGGCAGUGUGGCCCGUUCGUUCUGGGUAGGCUGAUCCCGCGUCAGUCCUCCACACCUCAGCCUCUGUCCAGCAUCCCGCAGCCGCUGCCGUGAUCAGAUGGGGCAGAGCUCUUUGGUCCAACAUGCCACCACCUGACUCCUCGCCGGCCCCGGCAGCUUCCGUGUGUGGACGCUGUCCUGUCCCACCACUCCGCUGAGCCGAGGAGAGAGCGCUCCAGCCGUCACUGCGUGUAGAGUUUGGCCCCGACUGCAUCGUGGUGAAAUGUCUCCGUUUAAAAAUACUAAGCGAGCUGGACAUGCAAGCACAUGCUUGCCAUGCGAACUACCUCGGAGGCUGAGGCAGAAGAGUUCAACCCCAGCGGCGUGACUGAGUGAGACACUGUCUCAAAAACAGUUUUUUAAAGGGCCGGGGAUGUACGUCAGUGGUGAGCAUGGGGAUCUGGACGGGACGCUCUGGUACUGGAAAAGGGUCCCAAGUGCUCCCCAGGGGCGCCUGCGAUGCUCCGCAAGUUCCAGUCACCCUUUUCCCUGCGCUGCUCCCCUCAGCUGUGCAGAUGAGCUCGAGUUCCCACACCCCCCGCUCGCACCCAGCCCGCCCGCAGUACGAGACUUCCAUCUGUCGCCACUCUGAGGUCACUUCCAGUUUCUUUGCUGUUUGUUCCUUUUGUCUUUUCUUUUUCCUUUAGUAUUAGUGCCUACUAAUUUUACAAAGUGUUAGGUUUCAAUGCAUAUAUUUGGAUCAUCUCCAUCCCCUCUGUUACCUGCCCUUAGGCCCCUAUUCCUUACUCCCUUCCUUUCUACUUC
rnacentral:lncRNA from 1 species